rnacentral:rRNA from 1 species
UUGGAGGGCAAGUCUGGUGCCAGCAGCCGCGGUAAUUCCAGCUCCAAUAGCGUAUAUUAAAGUUGUUGCAGUUAAAAAGCUCGUAGUUGAACUUCGGGGUCUACCCAUUGGUCAGGCUUAAUUGUCUGCACUGGUGAGAUGGAUCUCUACCUUCUGAGGAACUUUCAUGCCAUUUAUUUGGUGUGAUAGGAAAUCAGGACUGUUACUUUGAGAAAAUUAGAGUGUUUAAAGCAGACUAUCGUCUGAAUACAUUAGCAUGGAAUAAUGAAAUAGGACGGACUGGUUCUAUUUCGUUGGUUUCUAGGAUCACCGUAAUGAUUAAUAGGGAUAGUUGGGGGCAUUAGUAUUCAAUUGUCAGAGGUGAAAUUCUUGGAUUUAUUGAAGACUAACUACUGCGAAAGCAUUUGCCAAGGAUGUUUUCAUUAAUCAAGAACGAAAGUUAGGGGAUCGAAGACGAUCAGAUACCGUCGUAGUCUUAACCAUAAACUAUGCCGACUAGGGAUCGGACGAAGUUAAUUUUAUAAUGACGCGUUCGGCGCCUUACGGGAAAC